GAUGAACGCUGGCGGCGUGCCUAAUACAUGCAAGUCGAGCGAACGGACGAGAAGCUUGCUUCUCUGAUGUUAGCGGCGGACGGGUGAGUAACACGUGGAUAACCUACCUAUAAGACUGGGAUAACUUCGGGAACCCGUAGCUCAUACCGGAUAAUAUUUUGAACCGCAUGGUUCAAAAGUGAAAGACGGUCUUGCUGCCACUUAUAGAUGGAUCCGCGCUGCAUUAGCUAGUUGGUAAGGUAACGGCUUACCAAGGCAACGAUGCAUAGCAGACCUGAGAGGGUGAUCGGCCACACUGGAACUGAGACACGGUCCAGACUCCUACGGGAGGCAGCAGUAGGGAAUCUUCCGCAAUGGGCGAAAGCCUGACGGAGCAACGCCGCGUGAAUGAUGAAGGUCUUCGGAUCGUAAAACUCUGUUAUUAGGGAAGAACAGAUGUGUAAGUAACUGUAGACAUCUUGACGGUACCUAAACAGAAAGCCACGGCUAACUACGUG
rnacentral:rRNA from 1 species